rnacentral:rRNA from 1 species
UUAAAUGGCCGCAGUACCCUGACUGUGCUAAGGUAGCAUAAUCACUUGACUUUUAAAUGGAGCCUAGAAUGAAAGAAAGAACGUAGAAAAUUUGUCUCAUAUAUAUUACAUUAAACUUGAUGGGUGAGUGAAAAUACUCAUAAUUACAAAAAUAGACGAGAAGACCCUUAGAAUUUUAAAAAUAUUACAUAUAAAUAUCUUGUAAGAUUUUUUGUUGGGGCAACAAUAUUUCAUAAAAUAAGUAUAUAUUUGUAUUAGAUAUGCCGAUUAAAUAGUUAUAUAAAAAUUACCUAAGGGAUAACAGCAUAAUU